AGUCGAGCGAACAGACGAGGAGCUUGCUCCUCUGACGUUAGCGGCGGACGGGUGAGUAACACGUGGAUAACCUACCUAUAAGACUGGGAUAACUUCGGGAAACCGGAGCUAAUACCGGAUAAUAUAUUGAACCGCAUGGUUCAAUAGUGAAAGACGGUUUUGCUGUCACUUAUAGAUGGAUCCGCGCCGCAUUAGCUAGUUGGUAAGGUAACGGCUUACCAAGGCAACGAUGCGUAGCCGACCUGAGAGGGUGAUCGGCCACACUGGAACUGAGACACGGUCCAGACUCCUACGGGAGGCAGCAGUAGGGAAUCUUCCGCAAUGGGCGAAAGCCUGACGGAGCAACGCCGCGUGAGUGAUGAAGGUCUUCGGAUCGUAAAACUCUGUUAUUAGGGAAGAAUAAAUGUGUAAGUAACUAUGCACGUCUUGACGGUACCUAAUCAGAAAGCCACGGCUAACUACGUGCCAGCAGCCGCGGUAAUACGUAGGUGGCAAGCGUUAUCCGGAAUUAUUGGGCGUAAAGCGCGCGUAGGCGGUUUUUUAAGUCUGAUGUGAAAGCCCACGGCUCAACCGUGGAGGGUCAUUGGAAACUGGAAAACUUGAGUGCAGAAGAGGAAAGUGGAAUUCCAUGUGUAGCGGUGAAAUGCGCAGAGAUAUGGAGGAACACCAGUGGCGAAGGCGACUUU
rnacentral:rRNA from 1 species